rnacentral:misc_RNA from 1 species
AACGCACAUUGCGCCCCCUGGUAUUCCGGGGGGCAUGCCUGUCCGAGCGUCAUUGCAACCUUCAAGCGCGGCUUGUGUGUUGGGCCUCGUCCCCCGUGGACGGGCCUGAAAGGCAGUGGCGGCGCCCGACUUGGUGCCUGAGCGUAUGGGAGACCUUUCCGCUCAACAGGCCUGAAUCGGCGCUGGUCGUUAACCAAAAGUAUACCGGUUGACCUCGGAUCAGGUAGGGAUACCCGCUGAACUUAA